CAGCGACAAGCAAGGAAGGAAGGAAGCACCCUCAAAUUCUGUCUAAACUUUCUGACUGUAUAUAUAUAUAUAUAUAUAUAUAUGUACACACACACAACAACAGCAUUCAAAGCCAGAUGGUGGAGCUAGAAAUAAGAAGGAAACUGAAAUCAUCCUCUGGAGAACAUGAACAUCCACAGACAAUUUUGUGUCUAUCUGCUCUUCCAGGAGACAGCAUGGCAGCAUUGUGGCAAAGAAAACUCUCUGAUCCGACCCUGGCUGCUGUGAUCCAAACAAAAGCGCUGACUGCGGCUCACUGAUGCGGCCUUAGUGGCUCCCUGGGAUGUCAGAAUGAAAAAUCAAACUGAACAGAAAAUAAGCUCUGUGUGUUUAAAAAUUGAACUUAAUAGUCGGAUCGAACAGGAAUUGAGCUGAGUCGCAAAAAAAUGUCUGAUAAUUGAUGUUUUCUGUUUUCACUGGUUGGAUUCCUGCGACUCUAUCUGACCCAAACCACAGCUUCAGGCUUUUAUUAUAAAUCAGCUUUUGACUUUUCAAACCCAAUCUCCAUGAAAAUUACACAGUUAGCUUUCUCAGAUUCUACUGAAUAAUGAGAAAUGCCUGGCAGAACUAAUCUUUCCCUUUAAUGUGCGCAUAUGUCUCUG